GUGGGGAAUAUUGGACAAUGGGCGAAAGCCUGAUCCAGCCAUGCCGCGUGUGUGAAGAAGGUCUUCGGAUUGUAAAACACUUUAAGUUGGGAGGAAGGGCAUUAACCUAAUACGUUAGUGUUUUGACGUUACCGACAGAAUAAGCACCGGCUAACUUCGUGCCAGCAGCCGCGGUAAUACGAAGGGUGCAAGCGUUAAUCGGAAUUACUGGGCGUAAAGCGCGCGUAGGUGGUUCGUUAAGUUGGAUGUGAAAGCCCCGGGCUCAACCUGGGAACUGCAUCCAAAACUGGCGAGCUAGAGUACGGUAGAGGGUGGUGGAAUUUCCUGUGUAGCGGUGAAAUGCGUAGAUAUAGGAAGGAACACCAGUGGCGAAGGCGACCACCUGGACUGAUACUGACACUGAGGUGCGAAAGCGUGGGGAGCAAACAGGAUUAGAUACCCCUGUAGUCC
rnacentral:rRNA from 1 species